rnacentral:rRNA from 1 species
GACAGAGGUGCCGAGCGUUAGGCGGAAUCACUGGGCUUAAAGCGUGUGUAGGCGGGCGGGCAAGUACCUUGUGAAAUCCCACGGCUCAACCGUGGAACGGCUGGGUAUACUGCCUGUCUUGAGCCAACUAGGGGCGAGCGGAACAGACGGUGGAGCGGUGAAAUGCGUAGAUAUCGUCUGGAACGCCAAAGGUGAAAACAGCUCGCUGGGGUUGUGCUGACGCUGAGACACGAAAGCCAGGGGAGCGAAUGGG